CUUGGUGUGCUGGCCUGCCGCGUGAUCGUCUCUUUGGCGGUGACAUAAUCACUGGAAAUGCCGGCAUCUCCUGAGGACGGCGCAGGUUGCCUCACGUUUCGCUUGUUCCCUUCCACACAACCGACCACGUUGUCAGACACCUGAAGCUGCACUUUUGCCUUAGAAUGCAGCUGCUGAGCGCCUCGGCAUCCCAGUCCGACAAAUUGAGGUACGCCAUCACACCUGUUUCGCCGCACGGCUUCUAUAAUGCAUGUGCUUCUGGCGUCUUCGCUUCGGUCCUCUGAGGAGUGCCUGGUAUCACUAUAACUCAAUCACAGAACAAUGUGAUCCAGGAGGCGAGCAGUUCAACUGCAAUGGAUUUCCAACUAAGGCAGAGUGCCAAAAAAGGUUGUAACUGUAUUCAUAGGAAUGGCACAUACCCUGCCGACUGCGGUUGCCUCUGGGUAUACCCUUUCGGUGACGUAAUGGAGAACAUGUAUCAUCACAACGAUUUAACCAGGACGUGUGAUCUGCGUGCGAGGGAGUUCAACUGCAAUGCAUUUAAUACAAUGCAUGAAUGCCAGCAGAAAUGCAAUGUGGGAACAGGCAACCGACGGCUCAGGAAAAAAAGGCAGAGCAGAAGCAGAAGUUCUUCUGCUUGAAUGUAUC